GAGGGUUACAUUUAGGGUUAUUCUGUGUUGCUCAUGUAAUUUAGGAUUAUAAUUUUUUGUAAUUGUUAUAAUUAUAAGUUGUUAUAAUUGUUGUUAUUCUGUUGAAUAACAACUUCGGCUUAACUAUGCUAAAUAAUUUGUUUAAACUGUGUAUGCAUUUACAGUUCUAACGAUCCUCUGGACUCCAAUUUCAAUGCCUUCUCCCCUUCCCCAGAGCUACCAGAAUCCAUGCCCAGACCAAAAAAACCAAGGUCACUG
rnacentral:lncRNA from 1 species